GGCAGCGUUUCCCGGGCUCCCUCCGCCCCGGGACGUGGCGCGCUCCAGCGCGGUUCUCGCGCGGCGCGCGGCUUGGCGUGCGCGGGCUCCGCCUGCCCCCUGCGGCCUCCUCGGAAAGGCCCCGGCUGUAGGGGCCGCUCGGCCCCGUUGCGUGAGGAGGCCGCGAGCAGCUGGGUCUCUGCGGCCCGCGAGACGGGCCUGGGGAGCGCAGGCCCCCUCCCGCGCGGGCCGGGAACCCCUGCAGCGGCCCCGCUGCCAGGCGUGGGGAAGGCCGGGCCCGCCAGCGGCUGCUCGGGGGCUGGCGCGUCAUGGCGGGGUGCGAAGAAGGCUGAGCCCGCUGCGGCGGGGUCCUCUAGGGCAACCCAUUCAUCGAAGUGUGUGAGAGAGACUGGAGCUGCUGAGGCAGCCCAGGUGUCAGGGGGUGUGAAGGAGGCUGGGCCCACUGGGGCUGGCCCCUCAUCGCGGGGUGCGAAGAAGGCUGAGCCCACUGGGGCUCCCUUUAGGGCUGGCCCCUCAUCGCGGGGUGCGAAGAAGGCUGGGCCCCCUUUAGGGCUGGCCCCUCAUCGCGGGGUGCGAAGAAGGCUGGGCCCCCUUUAGGGCUGGCCCCUCAUCGCGGGGUGCGAAGAAGGCUGGGCCCCACCGGGGCUGGCCCCUCAUCGCGGGGUGCGAAGAAGGCUGGGCCCCACCGGGGCUUUCUCUGGGGCUGGUCCUUCAUCUCGCAGUGCGAAGAGGACUGGCGCUGGUAGGAUUGAUCCUAGCAAAACUUCCUCAUUACAAGGCACAAGAAAACCUGGGUGCGCUUGUAUUAAAGGAUGCUAACAAGUAAUCUUUCUCUUCUCAUGGUCGGUGUUUGUGAUAGUUUUUUGUAGAAACCAGUGCACACUCCACUACCUCACCCUUCCCUUUUCAAUUUGUCAGAUAUAUUUUUAGUUACUGUCCUAUGUAUUUUAGAAAGGGACUGAAAUUAUGUAAGGAUUUUAAUGACUUCACUUUGUUCUGCCAGAAUGUAUCUGUGGAGUAGCACUGGCUAACUGGUAGUGUGAAACUUGUAUGAUGCUUUCCCUAUGGAUGGAAUGUCUGUUACGUUAGGACUCUUCCUACCUGCACAAUGGUCUGUGAAGAUCAGAAGAGGAGUAGGUUGGAGAUACAUAUAAGCUGCAACUCUUAGGUUUGAGACAGUCCUCCUCUCCAAGGCGGAAAGGGAUCGAGAGAAAGUCCCCCUAAAUAAAAAGUAAAUAAAAUAAGUAGUAAGCACGUGCAAUAGACUUACAGUGAUAUAUUUGUUUUGGGUGGUACGCUGACUUGGGCAUAAUGUCCAUGGAUAUAACUUUUCUGGGAACGGGCUCAGCAUAUCCAUCUCCAACAAGAGGAGCUUCAGCUUUAGUCGUUCGUAGUGAAGGAGAAUGCUGGCUAUUUGAUUGUGGCGAGGGAACUCAAACACAAUUUAUGAAAAGCCAUCUUAAAGCAGGUAGAAUUACUAAGAUAUUCAUAACUCAUCUUCAUGGGGACCAUUUUUUUGGUCUUCCUGGUCUCCUGUGCACAAUUAGUCUUCAGAGUAGUUCCAUUACAAGCAAGCAACCUGUUGAUAUCUACGGACCAUUAGGACUACGAAACUUCAUUUGCAGAACUCUGGAACUCUCCCACUCGCAACUUCUCUUUCCAUAUGUGGUUCAUGAACUGGUACCUACACCAGAUCAGUGCCCUGCAGAAGAAUUUAAAGAACUGUCUUAUGUUGACAGAGAUGAAGUCUCUUCCAAAGAAGUGCAAGGGAGAACGCUCCAUCUGGAUCAUGUAGAAAACUCCUACACACUGGUCAACAAUCAGCAAUUUGUUAUGAAAGCAUUUCGAUUAUUUCACCGUAUUCCUUCCUUUGGAUUUUUAGUGGAGGAGAAGCAGCGGACUGGUAAACUCAAUGCACAGAAGCUAAAAGGCCUUGGAGUUCAGCCAGGUCCUAUAUAUGGGAAACUGAAGAAUGGUGUUACAGUUGUCUUAGAAAAUGGAGUAACCAUUUCUCCUUCAGAUGUCUUGGAUGAGCCUGUUCCUGGAAGAAAAAUUUGUAUUUUAGGUGACUGUUCAGGUGUGGUUGGAGAUGGAGCAAUGAAACUCUGUUACGAAGCAGAUGUGUUAGUUCAUGAAGCCACAUUGGAUGACACCCAAAUGGACAAAGCCAAAGAGCAUGGUCAUAGCACUCCAAAAAUGGCAGCUGAGUUUGCAAAGUUGUGUAAGGUUAAGAAACUGGUUCUGACUCACUUCAGUCAGAGGUAUAAACCAGCUGGUCAGAUUGGAGAAGGAGAUAUUGAUGUCACGGAACUGAAGAGACAAGCUGAAUCAGCGUUAAAUGGUCAAGAAGUAACUUUAGCUGAGGAUUUUAUGACAAUAGAAAUUCCAGGGAAAAAGCAGAAGUAGCAUCUAGCUCGAUAAUACCACACAAAUUAGCUUGCUGUUGGACUGUGAGUUUACAGGUAGGGCUUCAGGUAUCCAAAUUGGUUCCUCAGUUUCCAGAUGAAGAAAGAGGUUGAAUUGCUAAGGUGACAUGCUCAGUUGCUAGAGAAUGACUAAGAGCUGGAUUUACUUGCUAUAGAGUUUUAAGGCUCAACUCUGUAAGAUGCUGAGUGCCUCAGCAACUUUAAUGACAGUUGAGGGUGUUCCACACCUAUGAGAAAUGGGCCAUUAUAGAAUGGUAUUGCUGUUAACUUGCCUAGGAAGAAGGGAGAUGGAAAAGCAGAUUACUAGUCAAACUCACUGCCUUAAGUGAAUAUGUGUGCAGCUACCUAAGCAAGGGGGAGAAAUAAACUCAUUCUUAGGUUUAUAUAAAUACAAGUAUUCAAACAUAUGGAGACAAAGCAAAAUAUUUAUUGAUCAUUUAAACACUUAGCUGCAAAUCUAAAUAACUUUAUUUUACAAGUAUAUGGAACGCCUUUAACUUAUCUUUUUGGAAUUUAAGUGUUAGGCUUAUUGAUACAGGUAUUUAGCCAAGUCUGGAAAACUUAACUGUAUAGGCAGAAAUCUUCCGAACACUAGACACUUUUAUUAGAACUUCAGAUUCUCUCGUCUUAAGUCUUAAAAUAGAACUUUGCAUUCUUUGCCUCUUAUUUACAAUCCUUUGUAAAUCUUAGUGGCAUAUCAAAGUAGAUAUUUUUUAACUUCUCAACCUCACAUGAGCUUUUGUAUAAAAUAUUUUCAAUAAUUAUUUACAUGAUUUUAUGUAAAAGGAAUAUUGCAUAAACAAACUAAUAAAGUAUUGAUAACUGUGCCACAUGUUUUGUAAAUUACUCUCAUCACUAAUGUACAGAAAUACUACAAAUUAAUAUGCUUACUGUAUUUCAUAGAACCAUAAGAUUAGAAGAGACUGCAAGGGUCUGGUCUAACUCCCUGCAGGAUUUAUUGUGUCUGUUUGACUAUACCUGACAUCUAUUUGCUUGAAGAGAUCACUAAUGUCAGUGAAAAUUCACCACUCAGAUAAAUGGUUGACUGUACUCCCUAGCUUUUAAAAGGACACUGUAGAUUUAAAUUUGGCUCAGACUUAAAAUUAUGGGUUUUGUAGACAAACAAACAAAAUAUGCUGUCUAGGGCCAUGCAAAUCGUUUUUUUCCUGGGGUUGUUUUUUGUGUUCAGCAUUUUUAAACAUUCUCAUGUAGUGUCUGAAACACAAGCAUGGGUACACCAAGAACCUGCAAGGGAAACUGACUUUCAUUGUACAAGAUGAGCAGUACAGUGACUGAAGUGCAUAGUAACAAACUGAACUAAAAUUUUCAUUAAGAUGUUAAUAACAUAGGUAAAGAAAUUAAAAAAUCAUGUCAUUUUAACUACACUAUAUGCAAACUUGUAUAAGCCUAUUGAUAUCAAUACAUGGUCUAAUUUAACAAAUCACAUUUGUGAAAGAUUUGGAACAAAAUAAUUUGUUCCAAGCUAUGAUUUUAAAACCUUCUUAUGUAUACUUGAGAAAGAAGUAACUGCAGAGAAGAGAUAAAACAAAUUCUAGUUAUGGGCCUGUUCCUUCUCCUACUUAGUCAGUCCUCUAGAGUCAGGCAUGGCUUGACAGUUCUUUUUCAGAUGUUCUGUGACAAAACUGAGAAUUCCAGGUUUCCCUACCUGUGUAAAAAAUCUUCAUUCCAGUAGUGAGCUUUGUGCUGUAAACCUAGUGAAAAGUGACAUGUUUUUGAAUGAUCCCAGAAAGUAGCUUAUGCAAAAUAAUAAUAGCUUAUGCAAAAUAAGCGUUACUUUAUCAGUAUAACUGCAUCUACACAAGAGGAGUUACAGUGAUCAACUGUAUCUUUUUCUAAAUCGGAAUGAUUAAAUCAAAAUAAAAACUAAGUCCCAUUUUCAAACGUGUCUGGGCUCAGAAGUAUCAAUGAGAAUUUAGGAGCUUACACACCAAGUCACCUUUGAAAAUGAGAUGUAGGCUCCUAAGUCACUUAAGAACUCUUAAAAAUUUUACCCUAGAUACCCUUUCUUACCGUGGAUUAUUAAAGGCUAACAAUAUUGAAUGGUUUCUACGGUGCCUAACUUUUUAUAGCAUUUAUUAAAAUACAACUGAUACUUAUGAUACUGUCCACUUCCUAUUACACUGAUGCUAAUACGAACAAGAAAAAUUAGCAUCAAAACUUGUGUUAAAUUUAACAGGACUUAAAAACUAAGUAUGAUAUAAUCACAUUUACAGAAAUACUCACAUUACCACAUCUCUCAAAAAAUGGGUCAAAUUCAGCCCAGCUCUAAGCAGGUCUACCUCUCUUCAGGAGAGGGCCACCUGUUUAUACUAGCUCACUACCCAACAAGUGUCCUUCAAAUAUCUUACAGGAUGCAGUGAUCUGCAUACAGUAGUGAUAGUCACUCCUCAGCCAUCAGUGGGGUUUGUCUUGAAACAAAGCUGUAUCCUGCAAAUACUCUCAUGGUGCUCCACACUCGCUGCCUCAUUGAAAAGCAUGCAGUUAAAGCACACACCCCUGCUGCCAAAACAAAUCUGUAGUACCAUGGUAUGCAUUAUGUAACUAUAGUGGUGUAUGUGAAAUACUUGUGCAUAUUUUGUGCUGAAUUUCUCUUAGCAACUGUUAUGGGGCCAAAGCCUAUUCUCUUUACAAACACAUUUCCUACCCUCCAGUCUCUUUCUUUCUUGGUUGAAAAAAGCUGGAUUCUGAGCUCUUUUGAAAAUCUACCCACUAGUGUCAUUAGAAUGAAGUUAAGACUAUGUGUGCUAGUAAGAAAAGCAGGAUUUGGGCCAUAGAUUGUUCUUUAUCCUCACUAUUAAUGGAUGUAUCCUUUUCUCAUUGAUCCAUUAAUCAUUAAAUUAGCAGAGGGAGAACUUUCUUAGGAUUCAAGUAUACCUGCCUGAUCAUGUUUAACUUGAGAGCUGCUAAAUAAUGUGGUAACAUACUAAAAUCUCUGAGUAGAUUUGUGAAGUGUGCUUUAGCAACUUCUUUAUUUGCAAAGUUUCUAUGGUGGAGAGAAACUUGAGAUCCUUGACUUCCCUUUUUAUUUUUAUCUCCAAGUGCAUCCAAAGUUAAAAAUACUUCUCCCUGAAAAAAAACUGAGACCCAAUACAGCUCAAAUGUCAUCAUUCUAAUUUUAAACUUAGCUGGUAUGGCAGGUACAAAGGCUGAAUUCUCCCAUAUUCAAGUGAGCAGGAUAUAGCAUGGAUUAAAAUUUCCAGCUGUACAAAUUCCCCUUUGAAUGCCAAAAGUUUCCCUCAGACUCAGAUAACAUUUCCUCUCCUUUAAGAAUUUUGGGCCAAGUAAAAUUUCCUCUAGCAUUAAUGUCUGAAUUUACGCAACCCACUAGUUGGCUGCUGUUCUAGUGCUAUGUAAUGACCACAAAUGGAUGUGCUCUCUCAGUAAAUGAUACCUACUUAGUCCUAAUCCUGCAAAAUGCUGAGUGCCCUCAAUUGCCAUAUAGCUCGAUGGGAAUUGAGAAAAGUUCCUGUCAAGUGCUGAGUGUUUAGCACCUUCCAGGAUUGGGCACAAUAUAUGUGAAGUUGGUUUGGAUUGUACCACAUGGAAACGUGGACCCUCAGAGGAACUGAGGUAUUUCAAGGGAGAGCAGGGAGAAAACUGCUACUCUGGCUAUUUUUUCUCCCCAACUUCUAGGAUCUGAAGAUGAGAUGGUAAAAAUAAUAGUGGGGAUAACUGAAUCCAGAACUUUUCUCAGCUAUUCAAGUUCUAGGACAAUGGGGGCACUCUUGAUGCCGAGUAAAAGGAUUGAAACAGGUCUCGUGGCUCCAGCCUCCAGAGAAUUGUAUCUCCAGGAAACAAACUUCUGGACAGUAACCAUUACAGUCACCUGGCAUCUGAACUGCCUAUUUGUAUCUGUUUAGGAGUGACUGUAAGUUCUAAUACCUCAAGAACCAGCAGAGGUGGCAAUGAAAGCUUUUAGUCCUGGUAAUCACAAGAUGGGAACUUAAAUAUGAAACAUUGCUUUGUGUAAAAAAUCCUAUUUUAGGAACGCUUUAGUGAGUUCUAAAAUCUAUUUGUUAUGGCUUUUUUUUCUCCCUAGGUGGCCCUUAUGGGGUUCCAAGUUAGGCUAGCUUUACAGCAAGAGAGGGAUGUAAAAUAGUACCAAUAACAUUUGUAAAUGCUAUCAAACAUAUCUUGGGAAUUUUUUUCUGUACAAUAUGUGGCAUAAACAAAAUACAAGUACAAUGUGGUAAAAGGUUUCAGUAGCCAUUUUUUUGUGAUCAUUACUCAUGAAAUCACCAUUUGUGAAUAAUGCAGCCACCUGAUAAAAACCUUUAUAUCUCACUAUCAUGUAUGCUUUCUCUAUGUUUGUGAGUGCGCCAUCAAACAUGAAUUACUAGCUUAGCUCUUAACCCCUUUUUCCCCCCAGAACAAAGUUCACCAGCUAUAGCAAGGGGAUAGUUAAUAGAUCAAUUUCUGCUGAAGGUUCAUAAGUAGUAAAUUAUCCUUUUGUGCUGCUGGAACUUGGCAUAUGAUCUUAGUUUGGGACUGAUUAUUUUUCUGCCAGAUUUGAAAAGGAAAUGGUCUUGCCCAUUAUUGAAUUAUAUGGCUGUUUAUAAAGAAAAAUAUGUUGAUUGUUUCAUACAUUUUUUGUGACUAUAUAACUCAUAUAGCUUCAUUUUACUAAUUCAUUUUGGCAAGCUUAUAGGGCCUGAUCAUCUCUCACUGAAAACAGUGAAAGUUGGAUUGGGCCCAUAGUCACUAACGCAGACUUAGAGCUUUGAGUGUUUUAAAAAACAUACUAAUAAAAAUACAUACUUUUGGAUCGUGAAAUGGAAGGAACUAGAGAAAUCCAAUCAAAGUAAUUUUAUUAUUUCAAAUUUAUUUUUUGCAUAUAAAGUGUGAAAUUUCUGUCACUAAUACUUGAAAUUUCAAAAUACAGAUGAAAUGUGUAACCUAAAAGGAACUUCUGGGUGGCUUCGGAAAAACCAUAUUGCACUCUUCUCUCCAAGCCUGGCCCCUCUUUGUGCAGGCUGAUAAGGAAAUACUGUACUACUAGAGAUGCAGCCUUUCAGAUGAGCCUUAAAUACUAAGGUUCUGACCGCUUGUGGGCAUUAAAGAUGCCACAAAAUCUUCCCCAAAAGUGGGGUGCGAACUCAGUUUCCUUCUCAUUGAAAUUUCAAUUUAGGUAGUUACGUUCAGCCUACCUUACUGUUCUCCCUGAAGUUUCAGCUGGAUAUAAUAUUCAUAUGUUGGCCUAAACUGGUGUGUAGUUUGGCUGUACACUUUUCAACAACUGCUGUGCAAAAUACCUCCUAUGCUUUAUAUAAUUACUCUGUCAUUUUAAGGCCCUGAAAAGAGUCACAUUGGAGCAGACUUGUCUGUCUGUGUAGAGUCCCAUUGACUUCAGGGGGACUUUACAUUAGCAUGUUUGUUUUUGCAGGAUCGGGGCUUAAGUUUGUAAAGUACUUGGGGAUUCCUAAUAGAGAGUAGGUGCUACAUAAGUUUGUUAUUCAUAUUACUGUUAACAUUUUUGUUAUGGUUAAUACUUAAAACGACUGGAAUAUAAUUGUUUACAAAGCAGCAGGCUGGGAAAUAAACAUGAUGAUUGAAACUAAAGGCAGCAAAUUUCAGGGUGUAUCCGAGGAAUAAAGUUCAAUUGGGAACCUGAACUAAAGUUAUAUGGGAUAUAAAAAUGUAUAAUAUGCUCCCAGGUAACCAAAUUAGGGUGGUGAAGAAUAAGUCUCCUGAACACUGCAUCUGCCAGUGAAUUUGCAGUCUUUAAGCUCAGACCCCUAUGCUGUACCUGAAUAUAAGAAAGCUGAUUGACUUUUCUUGCUGAGUUUAUAGACAAUCCUUUGCAGCUCCCCUGAUAAAGUGCAGACUGCAGGGAACAAUGUGAUGUUAGUUAUUCUAUAAUU